UGCUGUCCGAGGUAUGUCUGUCCUG
rnacentral:misc_RNA from 1 species